rnacentral:rRNA from 1 species
AAUGAACGUUGGCGGCGUGGAUUAGGCAUGCAAGUCGAGCGCGAACCCCGCAAGGGGGGAGAGCGGCAAACGGGGUAGUAACGGGUAGGUGACGUACCCUCGGGUUGGGGAUAGCCACGGGAAACUGUGGGUAAUACCCAAUAAUCUCCUGGAGCUUGAAGGCUUCGGGAGCAAAGGUGUGAUUCCACCGGAGGAGCGGCCUGCUUCGUAUUAGCUAGUUGGUGAGGUAACGGCUCACCAAGGCAUCGAUGCGUAGGGGGUGUGAGAGCAUGACCCCACCACUGGGACUGAGAUACUGCCCAGACACCUACGGGUGGCUGCAGUCGAGAAUCUUCGGCAAUGGGCGCAAGCCUGACCGAGCGACGCCGCGUGUGGGAUGAAGGCCCUUGGGUUGUAAACCACUGUCAGAGGGGAUGAAGUGCCAGAGAGUAAUCUCUUUGGUUUGACAUAGCCUCAGAGGAAGCACGGGCUAAGUUCGUGCCAGCCGCCGCCGUAAAAC